rnacentral:tRNA from 2 species
GCCGCUGUAGCUCAGUGGUAGAGCGCACCCUUGGUAAGGGUGAGGCCAUGGGUUCAAUCCCCAUCAGCGGCU